rnacentral:rRNA from 1 species
GAGUUUGAUCCUGGCUCAGAUUGAACGCUGGCGGCAGGCCUAACACAUGCAAGUCGAGCGGCAGCACGGGUACUUGUACCUGGUGGCGAGCGGCGGACGGGUGAGUAAUACCUAGGAAUCUGCCUGGUAGUGGGGGAUAACGUUCGGAAACGGACGCUAAUACCGCAUACGUCCUACGGGAGAAAGCAGGGGACCUUCGGGCCUUGCGCUAUCAGAUGAGCCUAGGUCGGAUUAGCUAGUUGGUGAGGUAAUGGCUCACCAAGGCUACGAUCCGUAACUGGUCUGAGAGGAUGAUCAGUCACACUGGAACUGAGACACGGUCCAGACUCCUACGGGAGGCAGCAGUGGGGAAUAUUGGACAAUGGGCGAAAGCCUGAUCCAGCCAUGCCGCGUGUGUGAAGAAGGUCUUCGGAUUGUAAAGCACUUUAAGUUGGGAGGAAGGGCAUUAACCUAAUACGUUAGUGUUUUGACGUUACCGACAGAAUAAGCACCGGCUAACUCUGUGCCAGCAGCCGCGGUAAUACAGAGGGUGCAAGCGUUAAUCGGAAUUACUGGGCGUAAAGCGCGCGUAGGUGGUUCGUUAAGUUGGAUGUGAAAUCCCCGGGCUCAACCUGGGAACUGCAUUCAAAACUGUCGAGCUAGAGUAUGGUAGAGGG